UGGCUCAGGAUGAACGCUAGCUACAGGCUUAACACAUGCAAGUCGAGGGGCAGCAUGGUCUUAGCUUGCUAAGGCCGAUGGCGACCGGCGCACGGGUGAGUAACACGUAUCCAACCUGCCGUCUACUCUUGGACAGCCUUCUGAAAGGAAGAUUAAUACAAGAUGGCAUCAUGAGUCCGCAUGUUCACAUGAUUAAAGGUAUUCCGGUAGACGAUGGGGAUGCGUUCCAUUAGAUAGUAGGCGGGGUAACGGCCCACCUAGUCUUCGAUGGAUAGGGGUUCUGAGAGGAAGGUCCCCCACAUUGGAACUGAGACACGGUCCAAACUCCUACGGGAGGCAGCAGUGAGGAAUAUUGGUCAAUGGGCGAGAGCCUGAACCAGCCAAGUAGCGUGAAGGAUGACUGCCCUAUGGGUUGUAAACUUCUUUUAUAAAGGAAUAAAGUCGGGUAUGGAUACCCGUUUGCAUGUACUUUAUGAAUAAGGAUCGGCUAACUCCGUGCCAGCAGCCGCGGUAAUACGGAGGAUCCGAGCGUUAUCCGGAUUUAUUGGGUUUAAAGGGAGCGUAGAUGGAUGUUUAAGUCAGUUGUGAAAGUUUGCGGCUCAACCGUAAAAUUGCAGUUGAUACUGGAUAUCUUGAGUGCAGUUGAGGCAGGCGGAAUUCGUGGUGUAGCGGUGAAAUGCUUAGAUAUCACGAAGAACUCCGAUUGCGAAGGCAGCCUGCUAAGCUGCAACUGACAUUGAGGCUCGAAAGUGUGGGUAUCAAACAGGAUUAGAUACCCUGGUAGUCCACACGGUAAACGAUGAAUACUCGCUGUUUGCGAUAUACAGCAAGCGGCCAAGCGAAAGCGUUAAGUAUUCCACCUGGGGAGUACGCCGGCAACGGUGAAACUCAAAGGAAUUGACGGGGGCCCGCACAAGCGGAGGAACAUGUGGUUUAAUUCGAUGAUACGCGAGGAACCUUACCCGGGCUUAAAUUGCAGAUGAAUUACGGUGAAAGCCGUAAGCCGCAAGGCAUCUGUGAAGGUGCUGCAUGGUUGUCGUCAGCUCGUGCCGUGAGGUGUCGGCUUAAGUGCCAUAACGAGCGCAACCCUUGUUGUCAGUUACUAACAGGUUCCGCUGAGGACUCUGACAAGACUGCCAUCGUAAGAUGUGAGGAAGGUGGGGAUGACGUCAAAUCAGCACGGCCCUUACGUCCGGGGCUACACACGUGUUACAAUGGGGGGUACAGAGGGCCGCUACCACGCGAGUGGAUGCCAAUCCCCAAAACCUCUCUCAGUUCGGACUGGAGUCUGCAACCCGACUCCACGAAGCUGGAUUCGCUAGUAAUCGCGCAUCAGCCACGGCGCGGUGAAUACGUUCCCGGGCCUUGUACACACCGCCCGUCAAGCCAUGGGAGCCGGGGGUACCUGAAGUGCGUAACCGCGAGGAGCGCCCUAGGGUAAAACUG
rnacentral:rRNA from 1 species